CCCAUCGUUGGGGGAUAGCCCGCCGAAAGGCGGAUUAAUACCGCAUAAGACUAUAGAGCGGCAUCGCUUAGUAGUUAAAGAUUUGUUGAUGAUGGAUGGGGUUGCGGGUCAUUAGCUAGUUGGUUGGGUAACGGCUGACCAAGGCGACGAUGACUAGGGGAGCUGAGAGGCUGGUCCCCCACACGGGCACUGAGAUACGGGCCCGACUCCUACGGGAGGCAGCAGUAGGGAAUAUUGGGCAAUGGACGAGAGUCUGACCCAGCCAUGCCGCGUGCAGGAAGAAGGCUUUCUGAGUCGUAAACUGCUUUUGACAGGGAAGAAUAAGCUGGACGUGUCCAGUGAUGACGGUACCUGCAGAAUGAGCACCGGCUAACUCCGUGCCAGCAGCCGCGGUAAUACGGAGGGUGCGAGCGUUGUCCGGAUUUAUUGGGUUUAAAGGGUGCGUAGGCGGUUCUUUAAGUCCGGGGUGAAAGCCCGUUGCUCAACAACGGAACUGCCCUGGAUACUGGAGAACUUGAGUACAGACGAGGUUGGCGGAAUGGACUGAGUAGCGGUGAAAUGCAUAGAUACAGUCCAGAACCCCGAU
rnacentral:rRNA from 1 species